rfam:Candidatus Halobonum tyrrellensis G22 contig00040, whole genome shotgun sequence.
CAGUAAUGGCUACUGUGCCAGCUGGUGGAUGGCUCGGCUCGAGAGCCGACGAAGGACGUGCCAAGCUGCGAUAAGCUCCGGGGACCCGCACGGAGGGUAAGAACCGGAGAUCUCCUAAUAGGAAUCCUCUCGCAAUUGCCUUGCGCAAUGGGGAACGCUCCGAAUUGAAACAUCUUAGUAGGAGCAGGAAGAGAAAGCAAACCGCGAUGUCGUGAGUAACGGCGAGUAAAAGCGAUACAGCCCAAACUGAAGCCCUCACGGGCGAUGUGGUGUUCGGGCUGGUAACAAGCGGUCCGUGGUUACGAGAAGUCUCCUGGAACGGAGCGCGAUACAGGGCGACAGCCCCGUACCGUACCCACGGUCCGCGGACCAGUUCCCAGAGUAGCGGGGAUCGGAUAUUCCUCGUGAACUUCCCAGGCAUCGACUGGGAAGGCUAAACACUCCUCGAGACCGAUAGCGAACAAGUAGCGUGAGCGAACGCUGAAAAGCACCCCGAGAAGGGCGGUGCAAUAGGGCCUGAAAUCAGUUGGCGAUGGAGCGACGGGGCACGAAAGGUCCCAUGUGGAACGACCGAGGUGCGAACCUCCUGUAGGACUCAUGGGAAGCCGCUGUUCCGUCGUACGUUUUGAAAAACGAACCAGGGAGUGUGUCUGUUCGGCGAGUCUAACUCGAUCAUCGAGGAAGGCAUAGGGAAACCGAUACGGCCGCAGCGCUUUGCGCGAGGGCCACCGUGUUCAAGCGCGGGGAGUCGAACGGACACGACCCGAAACCGAGUGAUCUACGCGGGGGCAGGGUGAAGCGCGCCGAAAGGUGCGUGGAGGCCCGUUAGGGUUGGUGUCCUACAAUACCCUCCCGUGACCUGCGCGUAGGGGUGAAAGGCCCAUCGAACUCGGCAACAGCUGGUUCCAACCGAAACAUGUCGAAGCAUGACCUCUGCUAAGGUAGUCCGUGCGGUAGAGCCACCGAUUGGGAGACCCGACUCCGAGAGGAGUCGGCCUCCCUGUCGAACUCCGAACGUACGGACGCCACGGAAGCAGGGAGUCCGGUGUCCCGGGGUAAGCUUGGGCACCAUGAGGGGAACAACCCAGAGCCUGGUUAAGGACCCAAAGUGUGGACUAAGUGUGAUUUGAAGGUAGUCUCGAGCCCUAGACAGCCGGGAGGUGAGCUUAGAAGCAGCUACCCUCUAAGAAAAGCGUAACAGCUUACCGGCCGAGGUUUGAGGCGCCCAAAAUGAUCGGGACUCAAGUCCACCUCCGAGACCUGGCGGCGCGGUUGACACCGCGAUCCUGUAGGUUGGCGUUCCGUUUGGGUGGAAGCUCGGGCGAGAGUUCGAGUGGACCGAACGGGAACGAAAAUCCUGGUCACAGUAGCAGCGAUAUUCGGGUGUGAACCCCGAAGGCCUGAAGAGUAAGGGUUCCUCGGCACUGCUAAUCAGCCGAGGGUUAGCCGAUCCUAAGUCCCGCCGUAAUUCGAACGGGACAAAAGGGUAACUGGUUAAUAUUCCAGUGCUACCACGCACUGAAAGUCGACGCUUUGGAGUCGGCUGAGCCGGACUUUCGUCCGGUCGAAUCGUCGAAGCCCGUGGAAGCCGUAAUGGCACGAAGCGGGCGAAUGUCGAGACAGCGUAAGUCAGCUCAAUCCGGAGCCCGUGAAAAGACGAGCGUGGUAUUCGUACCGAGAUCCGACACAGGUACUCUGGCAGAGUAAGCCAAGGCCAACGGGAGCAACCGACGUUAGGGAAUUCGGCAAAUUAGUCCCGUACGUUCGCAAUAAGGGAUGCCUGCCCUCCACGGGGCAGGUCGCAGUGACUCGGACGCUCCGACUGUCUAGUAACAACAUAGGUGACCGCAAAUCCGCAAGGACUCGUACGGUCACUGAAUCCUGCCCAGUGCGGGUAUCUGAACACCUCGUACAAGAGGACGAAGGACCCGUCAACGGCGGGGGUAACUAUGACCCUCUUAAGGUAGCGUAGUACCUUGCCGCUUCAGUAGCGGCUUGCAUGAAUGGAUCAACGAGAGCGUCACUGUCCCAACGUUGGGCCCGGUGAACUGUACGUUCCAGUGCGGAGUCUGGAGACCCCCAAGGGGAAGCGAAGACCCUAUAGAGCUUUACUGCAGGCUGUCGCUGGGACGUGGUCGCUAACGUGCAGGAUAGGUAGGAGCCGUUACACAGGUACCCGCGCUAGCGGGCCACCGAGGCAUCCGUGAAAUACUACCCGUUAGUGACUGCGACCCUCACUCCUGGCGGAGGACACCGGUAGCCGGGCAGUUUGACUGGGGCGGUACGCGCUCGAAAAGAUAUCGAGCGCGCCCCAAGAUUUCCUCACGCGGGUCGGGAACCCGCGGAAGAGCGCAAGAGCAAAAGGAAGUCUGACAGUGUCAUUCCCAACGAGUGACGCUGACGCGAAAGCGUGGUCUAGCGAACGGACCAGGCCUCUCCAUGAGGCCGGUUUACGACAGAAAAGCUACCUUAGGGAUAACAGAGUCGUCACAGGCAAGAGCACAUAUCGACCCUGUGGCUUGCUACCUCGAUGUCGGUUCCCUCCAUCCUGCCCGUGCAGAAGCGGGCAAGGGUGAGGUUGUUCGCCUAUUAAAGGAGGUCGUGAGCUGGGUUUAGACCGUCGUGAGACAGGUCGGCUGCUAUCUAUUGGGGGUGUUACGGUACCUGACGGGAACGUUCGUAUAGUACGAGAGGAACUACGAAUGGUCGCCACUGGUGUAUCGGUUGUCCGAGAGGGCAGAUGCCGAGAAGCUACGCGACACGGGGUAAGAGCUGAACGCAUCUAAGCUCGAAACCCACCUGGAAAAGAGGUACCACCGAGGUCACUCGUAGAAGACGAGUUCGAUAGACUUGGGGUGUACGCGCCGAGGCAACGAGGCGUUCAGCCCACGAGUACUAACAGACCGAGCCACACUCA